UAAGUUUAUAAAAAAUUACCAGGUACUGAUCUAUGCGAGUCUCUAUCUUUUGUCACAUUACAAAGUGGUAUAUCAUGGACAACAUCUCCAAUACCUUCACCAGCUACCACCACCAUCGUCUGUAGACACAUAAAAUGUCUCAAGUGAAUAAAUAAAGCUGAUGAGUAUUAUAUUUAAACAAUGAUGAGCACUGGGUACUAAAGACACUUGAAUCUGUAUUGACGUAUUUUCAACAAUUGUUGUUGUGUUUCCUACUUUUUUUUUUAUUUUAUCUCAAGUAAAUAGUGGUAAUGUAUGGAGACAUUACAAAAGCUAUUUAAAUAAUGGAAAAUGUCGCGUAGAUUGCUGGUGAAAAUACAGCAGACGUGAAAUGGCUGGUUGAGAAUACUAGUGAUAUAUAAGUAUGAGACAUGAGAAUGAGGAUAGGAUUGAGUUUGAUGUUACGUAGGUUUUUUUCAACAUGAGCAUGAACAUGCACUUGCAAGACAAGAUGACCAAAUAAAUUGAGGCUGCAGGAUUAAAUUUUAUUAUUAAUUUUUAUGAGGAUUUUGCGUCGAAUAGUAAAAGCUGGAGGUGGUGAGAGUAAUUGACAUUUACUGUCAUUGUUCUUACCGAGUUUUAUUGACACAUGUGUAGUUGUAACCAUGAAAAAUAAUGUAAGCAAAAAAAAAUUACUUUUUACUGGUUUUGGGCUUCACUACCACUUACGAGCCUGGGUACUCUCAGUGAAAAAUAAUGUGGCCGCCAUUUAUUUUGACUGGUGAUUUUACCACCAGCUGUCGCUUCGAUACUUCAAGUGGAUGAACACCAAAUGGAAAUACACCCGGAUUAUUUUUUGCAUGUGAGUACAAUUAUAGAAAAUACGCAUUGAAGUAUAGAAGAUACGAAGCAGGGAAAAAAAAGGAAAAAAAAAUUUGGACCAGAAGAGUUACAGCUUCAGAAUAACAAAUUUACUCUCUAAGGGGUCGAAUUGGAGAAAAUAAAAAAAAUUUCCCAGUGGGUGGAACUUAAAUGAAUUUUUUUUCAUAAGGGAGAUGGGAAAAGAGUAAAAUAAAUUUAUUUUAUCAAUGAUUUUCCCGACACUUUAGUAUAUAAAAAUUUAAAAUUAUGACCAUGAAUGUAUGAUCCUGAAGUUAGCAGACAUUUGAUGAUUUUUUAAUUUUCGUUUUUCAAUAAAUUAAUUGCAAAAAAAUAACAUAAAAAUAUGACAUGCAGAAAAUUUAAAAAACUAC